GAGCUCAGUUGGUAGAGCAUUUGAUUCUUAAUCUCAGGGUUGUGGGUUCAAGCCCCACGUUGGGCA